CCUACGGGUGGCAGCAGUGGGGAAUAUUGGACAAUGGGGGCAACCCUGAUCCAGCCAUGCCGCGUGUGUGAAGAAGGCCCUCGGGUUGUAAAGCACUUUCAGUGAGGAAGAACGCCUGGUGGUUAAUACCCAUCAGGAAAGACAUCACUCACAGAAGAAGCACCGGCUAACUCCGUGCCAGCAGCCGCGGUAAUACGGAGGGUGCGAGCGUUAAUCGGAAUUACUGGGGCGUAAAGCGCGCGUAGGUGGCUUGAUAAGCCGGUUGUGAAAGCCCCGGGCUCAACCUGGGAACGGCAUCCGGAACUGUCAAGCUAGAGUGCAGGAGAGGAAGGUAGAAUUCCCGGUGUAGCGGUGAAAUGCGUAGAGAUCGGGAGGAAUACCAGUGGCGAAGGCGGCCUUCUGGACUGACACUGACACUGAGGUGCGAAAGCGUGGGUAGCAAACAGGAUUAGAUACCCUGGUAGUC
rnacentral:rRNA from 1 species